rnacentral:rRNA from 1 species
CGAACGCUGGCGGCGUGCUUAACACAUGCAAGUCGAGCGAUGAAACUACUUCGGUAGUGAAUUAGCGGCGAACGGGUGAGGAACACGUGAGGAAUCUGCCUUCUACACUGGGAUAACUCCGGGAAACCGGGGCUAAUACCGGAUAUGAAACUUGGUGGCAUCACCGAGUUUGGAAAGUUUUUCGGUAGAAGAUGACCUCGCGGCCUAUCAGCUUGUUGGUGAGGUAAUGGCUCACCAAGGCGACGACGGGUAGCCGGCCUGAGAGGGCGACCGGCCACACUGGGACUGAGACACGGCCCAGACUCCUACGGGAGGCAGCAGUGGGGAAUAUUGGGCAAUGGAGGAAACUCUGACCCAGCGACGCCGCGUGCGGGAUGAAGGCCUUCGGGUUGUAAACCGCUUUCAGUAGGGAAGAAGCGAAAGUGACGGUACCUACAGAAGAAGCACCGGCUAACUAUGCGCCAGCAG